UCCUUGUUUCCAAGGCAGUCCCGCUUAAGUGCCACCUUUCGGCGUUGCAAUAAGCGGCAAGGGUUGCGCUCGUUAAAGGACUUAACCCAACAUCUCACGACACGAGCUGACGACAGCCAUGCAGCACCUGUGCAACAGUCGGUAUUACUACCGAAGACGAUAUUUCUAUCGCUGUCUGAAGCAUGUCAAGCCUAGGUAAGGUUUCUCGCGUAGUGUCGAAUUAAACCACAUGUUCCACCGCUUGUGCGGACCCCCGUCAAUUCCUUUGAGUUUUAAUCUUGCGACCGUACUCCCCAGGCGGAUCACUUAACGCGUUAGCUUCGACACAGAUCCCGCAUAUAGCAGAACCCACAUCCAGUGAUCAUCGUUUACAGCGUGGACUAC
rnacentral:misc_RNA from 1 species